CCUACGGGUGGCAGCAGUGGGGGAUAUUGGACAAUGGGCGAAAGCCUGAUCCAGCCAUGCCGCGUGUGUGAAGAAGGCCUUCGGGUUGUAAAGCACUUUCAGUGGGGAAGAAAGCCUUGGGGCUAAUACCCUCGAGGAAGGACAUCACCCACAGAAGAAGCACCGGCUAACUCCGUGCCAGCAGCCGCGGUAAUACGGAGGGUGCGAGCGUUAAUCGGAAUUACUGGGCGUAAAGCGCGCGUAGGCGGUCUGAUAAGCCGGUUGUGAAAGCCCCGGGCUCAACCUGGGAACGGCAUCCGGAACUGUCAGGCUAGAGUGUAGGAGAGGAAGGUAGAAUUCCCGGUGUAGCGGUGAAAUGCGUAGAGAUCGGGAGGAAUACCAGUGGCGAAGGCGGCCUUCUGGACUGACACUGACGCUGAGGUGCGAAAGCGUGGGUAGCAAACAGGAUUAGAUACCCGAGUAGUC
rnacentral:rRNA from 1 species